AACCAUAGAAACCUGCGGAGUACCUGCGGAGGGAUCAUUACCGAGUUUACAACUCCCAAACCCCUGUGAACAUACCUAUACGUUGCCUCGGCGGAUCAGCCCGCGCCCCGUAAAACGGGACGGCCCGCCCGAGGACCCUAAACUCUGUUUUUAGUGGAACUUCUGAGUAAAACAAACAAAUAAAUCAAAACUUUUAACAAUGGAUCU
rnacentral:misc_RNA from 1 species